UGUAAGAAACGUAAUCAUGUUUGGGUAC
rnacentral:sRNA from 1 species